rnacentral:misc_RNA from 1 species
UCCCACUUUCAUGGGCAGUCCCACCAGAGUUCCCACCCGAAGUGCUGGCAACUGAUGGUAAGGGUUGCGCUCGUUGCCGGACUUAACCUUACCUGGGUUUGACAUGCAGGGUGGAACCCGUGAAAGCGGGCGCUCUUCGGAGCCAUGCACCACCUGUGAAAGUGUCCCGAAGGAAGACCGUGUUUCCACGGCCGUCACUUACAUGUCAAACCCAGGUAAGGUUCUUCGCGUUGCGUCGAAUUAAACCACAUGCUCCGCUGCUUGUGCGGGCCCCUGUCAAUUCCUUUGAGUUUUAGCCUUGCGGCCGUACUCCCCAGGCGGGGCACUUAAUGCGUUAGCGGCGGCACGGGAGGAGUCGACACCUCCCACACCUAGUGCCCAUCGUUUACAGCGUGGACUA